rnacentral:lncRNA from 1 species
AUCAAGACUACGAUCACUUCAAGAAGAAAUUAGAAGAAAAUAUAUUUAGACACCUUGAUUUCAAAUGUUAAGGUAAAACACUUUAGUAUUUGGCAUAUACGUCAUUUGAAACUCAAGCAACGUUUCUUCGCACGACAAACACGAUUUUUGCAUAAAGAAAAGCACGAAACCUAUUACAUACUUUUAGACAUGUGAAAAAGUCCAUAAAACAUAUUAGAAACAUCCUUCAUGAGUUUACAUUUUGCCACAUCAUUUAAAGAAGGAAAAAUCCAAAAAUAUGCCGAUUUAGAGGACGCAUCCGGUAGCUAGAGGACGCAUCUGAUAGCUCUACCGGACGAGUCUGGUAAUUCUAGCGGACGUCCGGUAUGACAGGUUUGUCCAACGGUCAAGAAAUCGAACGUUCUAACUUUUGAACAAAAAAUGGUUAGUUGACCAUCUGGUAUGAUAGCGGACGUCCGAUAGCUUCGUCCGAUAGAACAGAACUUUUGACCGUUUUUAUUGCUAUAAAUACUAGAUCACUUUGCAUUCAAUGAGGGACUUUACAUGAGCAUUUAAAGUGAGACAUCAUUAAUCUAUCACCUAUAUACAUCUAUUUUUUCAAUCUAUUUAUUAGAAAAACAUUUGAUUGAUCCAACUUUUGAAAAUCAUUCUUUUCAAAGUAUUUUUCUUUUAUAACACUUGAGCUUCAAUCGUUGCUAUCUACUAAAGUGUUAGCCAUCUUCUCUUGUUGUAUUCAACUUCAAUUAUAUCAUUUAUUGCAAGAGAAAUUUUCAUUUGUAUACUCCUUAUCUUUCAAACUUGUGGGUCGAGUUGAAGUCCCGAAAAUUUCAACAUUGUAAAGGAAUGGUGCUCCUUGUUUGUAAGUCACCGAAAGCGUUGUAAGAAGGUUGGAUUGCACCAUAAGUCAAUCAAUAUGGUGAAAAAGGGCUUGCUCGUGACAGAGAGUUUGGUAACGGGGAACGUAGAUCGUGAUUGGAUUGAACCUCCUUAUUGCAUCGUUUGCACUCUCUUUUCCAUUCCUCUUAUUACUUUUGUGUUAUCUUGUUUAUUCAUAGUUAUUUGUUUAAAUUUGCGCUUAUAUUCGAAAAAGGAUCGAAUAACCAAUUCACCCCCCUCUUGGUUAAUUGUCUUGG